rnacentral:sRNA from 1 species
GCCCCACAGUUACCUGGCAACAUCCAGGUGCCGGACUCUCGUGCACUUGUUCUGAACCUGUCUGGGCGUGGCCUUGGAAGUAGUCUGUGAGCUGUAUCAUGAGACCAUCACCUCAUGUUUGAAAUCAGGGUCACCUCUGUCCUGAUUACAGGGCCACCGCAGUGCACUGGGUCAUCAAACCUCUUGCUUAUUGUAUUGUUAUCCAUCUCCAUGUUUUCAUGAGUGGGACCUCCUGGACGUAGGGCUGAUUGGGUCCUACAGUCACUCAAGUUUGAGUUCUAAGACACUUUAUUGUUUGGAUGCUGGGGACAUUGAAGGCACCAAGGAGAUGGAAGUCAUCAACUGGGCAAAUGCUGAAGACACACGUGGAGGAGCAUGCACCCCUGAAGGUUACAGAGAACUUCAACAAGAGCCAUUUUGAUGCAUCAAUGUGGGCAAAGGCAAAAGGUUCAAGAGAGAACAAGAGAAAACUAGAGACCACAAGUGGAUAUAUGUGGAUCCUCCCAGGAGACCUACUAGGGAAAUGUGUUCCUCACAGAAGUUCUCUGUCAUGUCACGAUGCAGCCAAACUUGCCCUCUCAAGAAGCCAGAUGGGUGGAGCCAUCAGAUCCUGAACCUCUGGCUUCAAACUGUGAGCUAACUAAAGAUCUCUGUGCUGUAAAAUA